rnacentral:lncRNA from 1 species
GGAUGUGUGCUCUUCCGAUGUCUUUGGACCGAUGUCCGGCGCGGCCUUUCGGUUGCGCCAGUCUGUUGGAAAGAUGACCAAACUUGAUCAUUUAGAGGAA